CAUGAGUUGCAAAACUCCCAACCAUUGUGAACGUACCUGAAUCGUUGCUUCGGCGGGGAGGCUCCUCAGCGGCCGCGCGCCACCCCUCGGGAGCCCCGGAGGCAUCCAAACUAUAGCUAUAUUUGGCCUCUCUGAGUAGCUUAUAAAUAAGUCA
rnacentral:misc_RNA from 1 species